rnacentral:rRNA from 1 species
GAUGAACGCUGGCGGCGUGCCUAAUACAUGCAAGUCGAGCGAACGGACGAGAAGCUUGCUUCUCUGAUGUUAGCGGCGGACGGGUGAGUAACACGUGGAUAACCUACCUAUAAGACUGGGAUAACUUCGGGAAACCGGAGCUAAUACAGGAUGAUAUUUUGAACCGCAUGGUUCAAAAGUGAAAGACGGUCUUGCUGUCACUUCUAGAUGGAUCCGCGCUGCAUUAGCUAGUUGGUAAGGUAACGGCUUACCAAGGCAACGAUGCAUAGCCGACCUGAGAGGGUGAUCGGCCACACUGGAACUGAGACACGGUCCAGACUCCUACGGGAGGCAGCAGUAGGGAAUCUUCCGCAAAGGGCGAAAGCCUGACGGAGCAACGCCGCGUGAGUGAUGAAGGUCUUCUGAUCGUAAAACUCUGUUAUUAGGGAAGAACAUAUGUGUAAGUAACUGUGCACAUCUUGACGGUACCUAAUCAGAAAGCCACGGCUAACUACGUG